rnacentral:lncRNA from 10 species
AGUGCUCAUCACACUGUGAUACAGUUACUUACUAAUAUCUUUUUCUACUCAAUUUUCUGUGCACUCACAGAAGGCAGAAACUGUACCUUUCAUUUCCAUGAUUCUCAUGGAUAAAGCCCUCAAUAAAUGUUUGCCAGAUGAAUGACUUGCCCAAGGUCACACUGCUAAUAUAUGGCAGAACCGGGACCAGAACCAAGACCUCCGACUCCCCAGAUCCCAUAUCCUUGCUGUUCUCCUGGGAUGUUUUCUGGAAGAAAAUGAGCUGUGGGCCUAAAAAGAAGCCAAUCAAGCAUUUGGCAGAUUCAGGUACAUGUGCAGCUUCGUUACCUGUGUAGAUUGCAAGAUGCUGAGGUUUGGGGUACAAACAGGACAUUGGCUUUUUCCUUCAGCUGGCUCCCUUUGUGGUAAUACGACGUCUGCACCAAACACAAUAACACGCAGAAAAAGAAAGCUUUCGUGUUUUUUCAGAAGCAUGGAAGCUUUUACCAGCAGUCUCCUGUAGAAUCUUCUUUUUGUACCAUUAGCCAGAAUUGGAUACAUGCCCAUUCUUUAGCUAGUCCCUCCCAAGGGGAAU